rnacentral:rRNA from 1 species
GGGGGACAACAGUUGGAAACGACUGCUAAUACCGCAUAAUGUCUACGGACCAAAGGGGGCUUCGGCUCUCGCCUUUAGAUUGGCCCAAGUGGGAUUAGCUAGUUGGUGAGGUAAUGGCUCACCAAGGCGACGAUCCCUAGCUGGUUUGAGAGGAUGAUCAGCCACACUGGGACUGAGACACGGCCCAGACUCCUACGGGAGGCAGCAGUGGGGAAUAUUGCACAAUGGGCGCAAGCCUGAUGCAGCCAUGCCGCGUGUGUGAAGAAGGCCUUCGGGUUGUAAAGCACUUUCAGUCAGGAGGAAAGGGUGGUGGUUAAUACCCGUCAUGUGUGACGUUACUGACAGAAGAAGCACCGGCUAACUCCGUGCCAGCAGCCGCGGUAAUACGGAGGGUGCGAGCGUUAAUCGGAAUUACUGGGCGUAAAGCGUACGCAGGCGGUUUGUUAAGCGAGAUGUGAAAGCCCCGGGCUCAACCUGGGAACUGCAUUUCGAACUGGCAAACUAGAGUGUGAUA